rnacentral:rRNA from 1 species
CUGACGGAGCAACGCCGCGUGAGUGAUGAAGGUUUUCGGAUCUUAAAACUCUGUUGUUAGGGAAGAACAGGUCCCGUUCGAAUAGGGCGGUGCCUUGACGGUCACUAACCAGAAAGCCACGGCUAACUACGUGCCAGCAGCCGCGGUAAUACGUAGGUGGCAAGCGUUGUCCGGAAUUAUUGGGCGUAAAGGGCGCGCAGGCGGUUUCUUAAGUCUGAUGUGAAAGCCCCCGGCUCAACCGGGGAGGGUCAUUGGAAACUGGGGAACUUGAGUGCAGAAGAGGAGAGUGGAAUUCCACGUGUAGCGGUGAAAUGCGUAGAGAUGUGGAGGAACACCAGUGGCGAAGGCGACUCUCUGGUCUGUAACUGACGCUGAGGCGCGAAAGCGUGGGGAGCGAACAGGAUUA